AUGUAAGGGCGAUCUGGCUGUGACAUUUGUCACCCCAUUGAUUACCAGGGUUGAUUCUGCUGAUCUGGCUGGCUAGGCGGGUGUCCCCUCCCUCCCUCACCAUUCAAUGUGCGUUUCUCCCGAAGCUGCGUGCUAGGUCAAAGAGUACGGCCUUCCCCGAAUAGAAACGGACUCGCCUUCGAUCAAGUGUAUACGAGUAGCUGCACUCCCCUACUAGAACCUCCAUACAAGCUCGGAAUAUACUAUCCUACCAAAAAUUGCUAAAAGUUAUUCAAGUUGUGACUCUUAGAGAAACU
rnacentral:snRNA from 1 species